UCAGCCCCCUUACAUCUCCCCUGCAACCCACCUCCCUCCAACGCCGUAACAGCAGGUGAAGUUGCUGCUGGUCUCACAGACUUCUUACUGGAAUUAUGCUGUACGGUCUUCCAUCGCUGAACGGAAGGUGGUUGGUGACCUCAUCAGAUGUGGGAACUACAACAGGAACUGACACCAAGGUUUGGGUGAAUUGCAAUAAGAAGUGGCUGCUCCAGUUUCGCGAUGGACAGACUUCCAUCGGAGAGUGCAUUCGGUGGGCCUGGAGUCACCCAUAGCCCAGACAAG